UCCCAGGCAUAGCAGUGACCUCCUCAGUUGCAAUAAUGCUACAAUAAGCCCAUCCCCCACAUCCAUAAAAUGGGAUAGAACUUGUAUUGUCCAGAAGGGGCUGACCAUUUCCUCCCACCACCUGCACCAACUGCCAAUCAACUGCCAGCAAAAGGCAGGAGGCUACAACUUGAUUAAACUGUUCAGUUUAAAGGGAGGGGAGAAAGAAAGAAUUCCACAUGGCUGCUCUUCCGCCCGACUCCACCUCCAAAGAGGCAGGAGGGAGAGGAGGGUUACAAGACCAAUGACAUAAUGGAGGAGGUACCUGGAUGGAGAUGAUCUAAUGGAGAAAGGCACCUAGGUUCUGCUAAUCUGCCAGGAUGACUUCCCCAAUAAGAACACUAAUCCAUAGCAAAUAUAAAUACAUGAGAGCCAAUUAGCAGGAGACAGGAAGGAGUGGGCACUCAAGAGCUAAGCCAGAAACAACAGCCCAGGAGCAAUCUGCCAAAGGAGAAAAAGGAAGUAGCAGUGGACUGUGGCAAAUCAAGAAGGGAGACAUUGAGGAAAGGCAUCUGAGAACAGGAGACCGUGGCUCAUGUGGCCACUUGUACCCCCCACCUCUGGGAAUGAGAGUAGGGUCCUGAAAGGGUGUUCUCUUUCCUCAGCUUGGUACCUGCCUUGAAGCAGGCAUUGUUCUGCAUUGCUUUACCACAAUGACACAAAUAGCUUUUAUUUUUGCCUCAAACAUAAAGAGGUCAAGAAUUAGCAAGAAAUGACACUAAGGCAGAGAGCCAAACCUUUGCCUAAAUGUUAGGAAUUUUUCUGAGUACUUAUUGGGUUUGUGAUGUUGUUCAUAGUCUUUCAUAUAAACUGACUGAAGAGGCAGAAGAUGGCUAGACCUGAAAGGCAAUAAAAUCAUUCCUAGAAUUAAAAUGAGCAUAGUUACAAGAUAUUAUAUAAAUAAUGGAUACAGCAAUAGUGUGUGUGAUGUGUGUGUGUGUGUGUGUGUGUGUGUGUGUGUGUGUUCCUAAAUUCAGAGCCAUUUUUGGUCACUUUGGGUUUUGAUGGCUUACAGUAAAUAUAGAUAGCAAUUUUUUCUGUUCUGGGCAGAAACACUCAUCUUCUCCUCCUAAACUGAUUUUUUUUUUGAAUACGCAAACAAGGCCAACUUUUGCUUAAUUUCUUAUUCAACCUUAAAUCAUUGAAUGGAUGUUAUCUCAAAGAAACUGAAACCUAGGAGAGACCUUAUCAGGAAUAUAUAUAU